CGACCUCGGGCUGUACG
rnacentral:rRNA from 4 species